CUUUUCUCCUCUCUCUUUUUUAUUUAAACCAACCACAACCGUUUUCUUUUUUUUUUUGUCUUUUCUCUCCUCUUUUAGCUGAGAAUUAGAAUCUCAUCACCAUCAGAACCAAAAUAAUAUAUCUAUAUACAUGAGAUAAAAGAUGUCUCCCAAAAGAAAGAAAACUGAAAGUGGGAUCAACUUUUGAUCGACCAACUUAAAAGGUUAGAGUAAAGAUGGGUUCUCAGAGGAAAAAGCUGCUUGCAAAUCGAUGUAUACAAGUACUUCAUAUGUGCGAAGUAUGUGUUACUGAUCAAUUUAUCAUGGAAAACACACAUAAAGUUGAAUGAUUUUGUGAAUGUUGAUUUUUACCAAUUAGGCAUUGAUCAUUAAAAAAAGAACUUGCCUUUUACAGUUGAGUUUGGUAGGUUCAAACUAAUAAGGCAGAGGAACCUAGAAGGUGGUGUGGAUACCCUGCUAAUCUAAUAAUGAUUUUGCUAAUGUUUAUAUCUAUGUGGGUAGUUUAGAGAAGAGAUAAGUAUUUGAUGGCAGUGUAUAUGUUUAAUAGUGAUAAGACUGGUUUUAAGGGUUCAAUGGAUUGUUGAAAGGCCUCCGAAUCCUUUCACUACAGCAAACAAGAAUAAAAAUUUCAUAGAAAUUAUCCAAGUUCAAAUUUAUAUGGAUGGGUUUCUCGGGGAGAUGAUUAUAGAGCAGAAGGUGUUGUUGGAGAAUACCUGCGAGACAGGAAGGGAGUUGUUGAAGACUAUAUCAUCUCAAACCUUAUUACAGAAGAAACACAAGGUUUGAAAGGAACUCAUCUAAAAUGCACAGUGUAAAAUAUGUUUCGAGGGAUGAUUUUUCCUGAGAAAUUAGAUCUCAGACUGUAAAAUACACACCCAUCUAAAGUACAAACUGAAAGUAUCCACACCUGUUGUUGCAUAUCUCCCAACUUUAGAUGAGUGUGCAUUUUAUAGACUAAGAUCUAAUUUCUCAGGAACAAAAUCAUCCCUCGAAGAAUAUUUUAUGGUGUGAAUUUUAGAUGAGGUCCUUUAAAACCUUGUAUUUCUUCUGUAAUAAGGUUUGAGAUGAUAUAGUAUUCAAUAGCUCUAUCCCUCUUCUCUCGCAGAUAUUCUCCUACAACACCUUCUUCUCAAUAAUUAUCUCCCCGAGAAACCCAUCUAUUUAAAUUUAGACCUUGGGGAAUUUCUAUGGAUUUCCAUUCUUGUUUGCUGCAGUGAGAGAAUUCUGAGGCCUUUCAACAAUCCAUUGAACCCUUAAAAUCAAUCCUAUCACUAUUAAACAUCUACACUGCCAUCAAAUCUUUAUCCCUUCUCCAAACUAAACACGUAAACAUAAACAUUAGCAAAACCAUCAUUAGACUAUAGCAUGGGACACACACCGCCUUGUAAGUCCCUCAGCCUUAUAAGUUCGGACCUACCAAACUUAACUGUAAAAGGAAAAAUUUUAUUUUAAUGAUCAAUGUCUAAUCAGUAAAAAAUAACAUUCACAAAAUCAUUGUACUUUAUGUGUGUUUGUCACGAAAACCUGAUCAGUAAUACAUACCUCACACAUAUGAAAGUGGAUCCAUCUAUUUUCACAUACCUUAUUCUUUUUACCCCAUCUGUUCUCAUCAAUGACAGCAAUAAAAUAGUGUUUUAUCUUCA